GUAGGGGGCAAGCGUUAUCCGGAUUUACUGGGUGUAAAGGGAGCGUAGACGGUAGACCAAGUCUGAAGUGAAAGCCCGGGGCUCAACCCCGGAACUGCUUUGGAAACUGGUAAACUAGAGUGCAGGAGAGGUAAGUGGAAUUCCUAGUGUAGCGGUGAAAUGCGUAGAUAUUAGGAGGAACACCAGUGGCGAAGGCGGCUUACUGGACUGUAACUGACGUUGAGGCUCGAAAGCGUGGGGAGCAAACAGGAUUAGAUACCCUGGUAGUCCACGCCGUAAACGAUGAUUACUAGGUGUCGGGGAGUUAAACUCUUCGGUGCCGCAGCAAACGCAAUAAGUAAUCCACCUGGGGAGU
rnacentral:rRNA from 1 species